rnacentral:rRNA from 1 species
GAUGAACGCUGGCGGCGUGCCUAAUACAUGCAAGUCGAGCGAACAGACGAGGAGCUUGCUCCUCUGACGUUAGCGGCGGACGGGUGAGUAACACGUGGAUAACCUACCUAUAAACCUGGGAUAACUUCGGGAAACCGGAGCUAAUACCGGAUAAUAUAUUGAACCGCAUGGUUCAAUAGUGAAAGACGGUUUUGCUGUCACUUAUAGAUGGAUCCGCGCCGCAUUAGCUAGUUGGUAAGGUAACGGCUUACCAAGGCGACGAUGCGUAGCCGACCUGAGAGGGUGAUCGGCCACACUGGAACUGAGACACGGUCCAGACUCCUACGGGAGGCAGCAGUAGGGAAUCUUCCGCAAUGGGCGAAAGCCUGACGGAGCAACGCCGCGUGAGUGAUGAAGGUCUUCGGAUCGUAAAACUCUGUUAUUAGGGAAGAACAAAUGUGUAAGUAACUAUGCACGUCUUGACGGUACCUAAUCAGAAAGCCACGGCUAACUACGUG